AUCCAGAUGACGAUUCUCAAAUAGGACGAAAUGCGCAUCCUGGAU
rfam:Trichobilharzia regenti genome assembly, scaffold: TRE_scaffold0009203